AUCUGGAUGACGAGUCCCAAAUAAGACGAAACUCGUGUCUAGGAU
rnacentral:hammerhead_ribozyme from 1 species